rnacentral:rRNA from 1 species
GAAUUCGAUUCAGGCCUAACACAUGCAAGUCGAACGGUAACAGGUUAAGCUGACGAGAAAAGAACGGGUGAGUAAUGUAUCGGAACGUGCCCAGUCGUGGGGGAUAACUGCUCGAAAGAGCAGCUAAUACCGCAUACGACCUGAGGGUGAAAGCGGGGGAUCGCAAGACCUCGCGCGAUUGGAGCGGCCGAUAUCAGAUUAGGUAGUUGGUGGGGUAAAGGCCUACCAAGCCUACGAUCUGUAGCUGGUCUGAGAGGACGACCAGCCACACUGGGACUGAGGCACGGCCCAGACUCCUACGGGAGGCAGCAGUGGGGAAUUUUGGACAAUGGACGCAAGUCUGAUCCA